GCUCGUUUGAAUCCACUUGCGAAGAAUCCUCCAAAGGGGCCAAUGAGCGAGGCAAAGGUGGAGAGAGCGAUGCUGUGAAUCUGGAAGGGGUACAUCCGGACCGUUUUCUGAGAAGAGUAAAUGAAGUAAAAGUUUAGCAUAAAAAGCCCUCACCAGAAGCCAGGCAGCAGCCAAUGCCACACUUCUCACACUUCUCAGCCUGCAGAAACAAGCUAAGUAAACCUCUUUUCUUUGUAAAUUACCCAGCCCCAAGUGUUCUGUUAUAUCAACACUAGACAGACCAAGACAUCCAACCUCGUAACUCUUUAUGAAACUAAUUAUAUAUAUGUAGGUUUUAAAUCAAUAAAAGGAGUGAAUUUUUCCCAUUUUGUAAAUUUCUAAUAUCUAAGUUAAUGGAAAACAUUAAAAUAUUCUGCAUUCAAUCUGUUGCAACAUGCUGUUUUGGUGGAAGUAUAUAAAGAAAAUCCAGCCAUACGCAGAUACAUAGUUGAAAAGAGUAUUUUAGUCGUAGCCUCAGAUGGUUUUGGGUAUUCUCUGACACUACACCAGAGCUUGACAAGUAGUCAUUUCUUGAAUAUUAGGUGUGAUAUGGAAUCUAGAAUUCUAUCAAUGGACUUUGUUCUCUCUUACAUUAAAAUCCAUUGGUCUAUCUUAUACUUGAAUGGAUCUUUUACCCAUGCAUGACUAUAUAACACCAUGCAUCAGCCAUUUAGAAAAUAAUGGUUCACUGAGUUAUGUAAAUCUUCCAAAUGUAGACACAUUUCAUUAUACCGUGUCAAAUAUGUUUGUGUUUUUUCUCAUGUGAUCAACACACACACACACACACACACGUACGUUAAGAAUCAUCACAGACCUCAUCAGAAAAGGCUUUUAAGUAUUAGGAAGCUGUCAAGUUCACACUGGCAGGUUAAGCUUUCCAAAAUUCUAAUUUUCAUUUGAAAGCCAAAUUUUAUCCUUGGUAACAAUUACUGUCAGUCAUUUUUCUUUUUUUUCUUUUUUCUUUUUUUUUUUUUUGAGACAGUCUCACUCUGUCACCCAGGCUGGAGUGCAGUGGUGCGAUCUUGGCUCACUGCAUCCUCCGCCUCCUGGGUUCAAGCAACUCAACCUCCUGAGUAGCUGGUAGCUGGGAUUACAGGCACAUGCCACCACCCCCAGCUAAUUUUUUUGUAUUUUUAGUAGAGACGGGGUUUCGCCAUGUUACCCAGGCUGGUCUGGAACUCCUGACCUCAAGAGAUCCGCCUGUCUCGGCCUUCCAAAGUGCUGGGAUUUCAGGUGUGAGCCACUGUGCCUAGCCUCAGUUGUUUUCUUUAAAGUGAUAGGCUCACUUCAUCCUUUUCAAGAAAAAUGUCUGCCAAAUACCCAAGUCUGAAAAAUUAUAAUUUGUUGGUUCUUUCCAAGUAAAAUUUACUUUCUUUUCUAGAAAAAAGCAGCUAAUUCAGCUCACAACUCAAACAACUGCACACAUGCUUUCCCUUUAGGCAAGCACUGUACUACAGUACUUAGCAGAAAUGUUUUACACAUACUUUCCAUUUCAGUAGAGAGUAUUAAAAAGGUGUGUGUACAAAGGUCAAGAUUUAACAAAAUUAGUAACUUUACUAUUUCAUAGACAUUCAUUAGAAGAACUGGCCUGUUUGUACUGUGAGUGUGUGGCAUGAGGAACCCACUGUCUUAAUGCAGUUUUAACCACUGCUGCUUUUGCGCUGUUAUCACAGCAAAUGUCAACACAUUGAAAAAGGAAAACAAUGUCAUAGUCUAAUUAUGAAACAGUUGUGACCUCACAGACCCCCCACCCUACCCCCGCAACUAAAAGGAUCCCAGGGCCCUCCAGGGAUCCACAGAACACACUUUGAAAACCACUGGUCUAAACAAUCUGAUGUUGGGGGAAAGGUGUCCUGCCCAUACCCUGACCUGGCGUGAGCAAUUCUCCUUCAUCCUGGGGCUUACAGCUUUGGGAAGGAGGAAGCUAGCUUUUUUCAGAGGGCAGGUGAUGGAGGGGGAUCUCUCUUUGUAGCCACUGUCCAUGGAGGCCGCUCACCCCCUGUGAGUGGCACAUACCCAGCCAAUGACUGACUGGAUCACCCCAGGAAUGUUGUACUCCUGCAGGCGAAACAGGUCCGAGGGCUCACAGUCCACAGUGAAGCUGUUGGUGUCGUUGUUGUACUCCACAGGGCAGACAAAGCAUCUGUACCCGGACAUCACAUAGGACAGCUGAGGAGGAAUAACAGAGAGACCGGCAAGGAGGUUGUGGAUAACAAGAUGUGACUGUGUUACAACAAUCAGCAAUGUCACAUGGGUCCAGCCAAACUGCAAAAAGAAGAAAAAUAAACACUACUUACCAGUUUACCUUGAAAGUAACUUCAAAGAACAAUCAAUACCAAAUAGAAAACUGCUGAGAAGCAGACUGCUUGUUCCUGUGAACCAACCAGUGAUCUCUGGCUGCAGCUCAGAAGAAACAAGAGGGAUUGGUGAUAUAAAAAUCUGAAUCAGUAUUCUAAUUCUGGGAACAUAUUGCAAUCAGCUACCGACCCCGUAUCAGCUUGGUUCCAACAAUUACCCAGUUCAUGGAAAGCCUUCUUUAGUUUACUUGGGAUAGUUUUGCUUAUUUUGCUUUACUGAUAUGGAAUAGUUGUACUAUUUGUGUAGGAAUGCAGGAUAAGCUUACUCAAUGUUCUCUUAAACACUUACAAAAUCUUCCAGAUAUCACUUUGUGUCCGAGCUGUGAAUGGCCCUAACCAUACUGACACUUUCUGACUGAGCUCCUCUCUACCCUGAAUACAAGAGACCUCGAUAGGUAGGCAGGAAUAUCAUUGCCCCUAAUCAGCCUGAAGAAGUUACAGAGGAUGGAUCUUCGUCCCUCUGCAACCCUUAGGAUUAAGGGUUCUCUUAUAAGAGUGAUGGGGGAAAUGUCAGAGGCAUUUGAGCUAGAGCAACUCCAUCCUGAAUAGGAGCUGGGUAAAAUGAGGCUGAGAUCUACAGGGUCUGCAUUCCCAGACGGUUAGGUAUUCUAAGUCACAGGAUGAGAUAGGAGGUCACACAAGAUACAGGUCAUAAAGACCUUGCUGAGAAAACAAUUGCAGUAAAGAAGCUGGCCAAACCCCUCCAAAAUCAAGAUAGCAAUGAGAAUGACCUCUGCUUGUCCUCAUUGCUACACUCCAAUCAGUGCCAUGGCAGUUUACAAAUGCCAUGGCAACAUCAGGAAAUUACCCUAUAUGAUCUAAAAAAGGGAAACAUGAAUAAUCCACCCUUUGUUUAGCAUAUAAUCAAGAAAUAACCAUAAAAAUGGGCAACCAGCAGCCCUCGGGGCUGCUCUAAGGGGUAGCCAUUCUUUUAUUCCUUUACUUUCUUAAUAAACUUGCUUCCCCUUAAAAAAAAAAAAAAGUUUGCCAAUACCUGUCCUAGUAUUCAUAGGGCUGGGAGAAGAGGGAUCCACAUGGUAUAGGGUCAAGACCACCUUUUUAUCUCUCUCACAGUGACCUAGAUGGUAGCACAGCAUGUCCGCAGACCCCUUCUCCAGGAAGGAAAGGAACCUUUACCCAUAAAUAUGCGGAGAUCCUCAAAAGCAGUUCUGCCCAGAAAUAAGCAUGUCGCUUUUCCAGACCCCUUACCUCCCACUGUGGAAGGCUGCUUUCGGGGUCUGCAGCAUACUCUCUGAAUAUCCUCAAUGGCAGCAGACCCCUUUGCAGAUUUUAUAUUUUAAUAGUCAGGUGUCAUUCACAGAAGUAUUGCUAUCAAGCUGAUCAAAAAUAGGUCAGAUUGACAUGGAGGUCAGAACAAAUUUUUCAUGCACCUCAAACUAGCUUUGAAGGUAGCUAUGAAAAACUAUCAGCAUUAUUAGAAUUAGUACGUGGCCUUAGCUGAAUUUAUAUUAAUAUAACGCUUUAAUGUUUGUGAAGUUUUAAUGUAUUUGAUUUAAUCCUCGCAGUAACCCUGCAGUUUUAGCUCUAGAUUACAAAAGAGCUGAGACUCAGAAAUAUUAUGUUCCUAGCUCCCCCUGAGGUUGCAGAGUCUGAGCCCAAAUCCAGUAAAAUUUCCACCAUGCUACAAUGUCACCCAAGGCGGUCUCCUAAAAUGACUCCCCUAAAGAUGGUAAGUUCCUAGAUGAUUUUUGUUUCGGUCCCACUGCAGAAUCUUUGCCAACAGGAGAGUCAGGACAGGACCAUGCUGUGCUGUUCCUCAAUGGUGGCUGAAACACAGGGGCAGGUGGCACAGGCCACAGUCCUGCCCCUACACUCUGCUUCUCUUAAAAGAGCUCCUACAAGGCCGGGCGUGGUGGCUCACACCUGUAAUCCCAGCACUUUGGGAGGCCAAGGCAGGCGGAUAAGUUAAACUCAGGAGUUCGGAACCAGCCUGGCCAACAUGGCGAAACUCAGUUUCUACUAAAAAUACAAAAAUUAGCUGGGCAUGGUAGCAGGCACCUGUAGUCCCAGCUACUUCGGGACCUGAGGUGGGAGGAUCGCUUGAACUUGGGAGGUGGAGGUUGCAGUCAGCUGAGAUGGUGCCACUGCACUCCGGCCUGGGUGACAGAGUGAGACCCUGGCUC